rnacentral:rRNA from 1 species
CAGUCGCCGCGGGAAUACGUAGGGUGCGAGCGUUAAUCGGAAUUACUGGGCGUAAAGCGUGCGCAGGCGGUUCGUUAAGACAGAUGUGAAAUCCCCGGGCUUAACCUGGGAACUGCAUUUGUGACUGGCGAGCUAGAGUAUGGCAGAGGGGGGUAGAAUUCCACGUGUAGCAGUGAAAUGCGUAGAGAUGUGGAGGAAUACCGAUGGCGAAGGCAGCCCCCUGGGCCAAUACUGACGCUCAUGCACGAAAGCGUGGGGAGCAAACAGGAUUAGAUACCCGAGUAGUCCCUGUCUCUUAUAC